rnacentral:rRNA from 1 species
UACGGAGGGUGCAAGCGUUAUCCGGAUUCACUGGGUUUAAAGGGUGCGUAGGCGGGCUUGUAAGUCCGUGGUGAAAUCUCUGAGCUUAACUCGGAAACUGCCAUGGAUACUAUAGGCCUUGAAUUCUGUGGAGGUUUGCGGAAUAUGUCAUGUAGCGGUGAAAUGCUUAGAUAUGACAUAGAACACCGAUUGCGAAGGCAGCAGGCUACACAGCGAUUGACGCUGAGGCACGAAAGCGUGGGGAUCAAAC